GCCUGGGUGUGUUUAUGUCUUGUAUUGUCUUACAGGCUUCAAUUUUAGGUUUUGGAGUUAUUUGUAUUGAGAUUGUGGUUUUUUCUUAAUAAAAUGCUACUUUUCAAUAUAUAUGAAAUAAAAUAAGCAUCCCAUCAUUAGUAAAUAAAAUUUUACAAUAUUCCAACAUCAUUUGAUUUUGCUAAAAGUAUUGUUGAUUUUUGUAUAUGCCAUAAGGUCCAUGGGAGUACGUUUCAACUUUUGGACUUAUAUGAUGA
rnacentral:lncRNA from 1 species